CACGUAGUUAGCCGUCCCUUUCUGGUAAGCUACCGUCACAGUGUGAACUUUCCACUCUCGCACCCGUUCUUGACUUACAACAGAGCUUUACGAUCCGAAAACCUUCUUCACUCACGCGGCGUUGCUCGGUCAGGGUUGCCCCCAUUGCCGAAGAUUCCCUACUGCUGCCUCCCGUAGGAGUCUGGGCCGUGUCUCAGUCCCAGUGUGGCCGAUCACCCUCUCAGGUCGGCUAUGUAUCGUCGCCUAGGUGAGCCAUUACCUCACCUACUAGCUAAUACAACGCAGGUCCAUCUUGUAGUGGAGCAAUUGCCCCUUUCAAAUAAAUGACAUGUGUCAUCCAUUGUUAUGCGGUAUUAGCUAUCGUUUCCAAUAGUUAUCCCCCGCUACAAGGCAGGUUACCUACGCGUUACUCACCCGUUCGCAACUCAUCCAAGAAGAGCAAGCUCCUCUCUUCAGCGUUCUACUUGCAUGUAUUAGGCACGCCGCCAGCGUUCGU
rnacentral:rRNA from 1 species